ensembl:snRNA Gm23102 predicted gene, 23102
AGACUCUGGUUUCUCUUCAGAUCGUAUAAAUUUUUCGCCUUUUACUAAAGAUUUCCAUGGAGAGGAACAACUCUGAGUCUUAACUUCGCUGUGGGUGAGAAGCUGGAUACCUAUCA